rnacentral:ncRNA from 1 species
UAUACGCUGACUCUGUCAUCCCUGGUAUCCACUCUAGUGUGGUCUAACCCCCUACCGUAGGGAGGGGAUUAUAAGAUCCGUGCAUUAGAUCUUAUACGUUUAUAGUGAGUUUGAUUCUUGCUCUUAUCUAUUGUUUGGGAAUAGUUAAUAUAUACAUAUGUUGGAAUUAAUUCGUUACUUGUAAUUUAUAUAUUUGCAUGUUUGAGAAAUCAUGAUGCAGCUAUUUGUCAGAAAACUAACUAAUCUUGUGCCAGCAGUUGCGGUUAUACAAUUAGUUUGAAUAAUAGUUUUUGGGUUGGUAUUACAGUUAUUUAUUUGAGUUUGUUGGUUUACUAUUGGGUGGAAUCAUUAGUUGUUCUUUGAUCUCUUGGUUAACUUAUUAUACGAAAGUUAUAAUUUAAACUAGGAUUAGAUACCCUAUUAUUAUGACAUGUAUUUACUUCUCUUAAGAUUAAUAGAUGAUCUUUAAAUUAAAAGAAUUUGGCGGUAAUUUAAUCCUAUCAGAGGAACCUGCUUUUUAAUUGAUGUGCCACGAGGUAUCUUACUCUCGAUUUACUUGUAUACCUCUAUUUAUCGAAUAUCUUAUUAGGGUUAUUUUCUUAAUUUAAUUUAAUAAAGUAUUUUAGGUCAAGGUGCAGUUGUGCGAGAGGGUUGGUGGGUUACAAUUUUUCUAUAAUUGGAUCAUUUUAUGUAAAGUGAUUGUGAAAGAGGAUUUGGAAGUAAUGGUUAUUAUCUUAUAAUCGUGACUUGGGCUCUAAUUUAUGCACAUAUCGCCCGUCGCUCUCGUUUUUAAGACGAGAUAAGUCGUAACAAAGUAGACUUACCGGAAGGUGAGUCUGGUUAUUU